rnacentral:rRNA from 1 species
GAUGAACGCUGGCGGCGUGCCUAAUACAUGCAAGUCGAGCGAACAGACGAGGAGCUUGCUCCUCUGACGUUAGCGGCGGACGGGUGAGUAACACGUGGAUAACCUACCUAUAAGACUGGGAUAACUUCGGGAAACCGGAGCUAAUACCGGAUAAUAUAUUGAACCGCAUGGGUCAAUAGUGAAAGACGGUUUUGCUGUCACUUAUAGAUGGAUCCGCGCCGCAUUAGCUAGUUGGUAAGGUAACGGCUUACCAAGGCAACGAUGCGUAGCCGAACUGAGAGAGUGAUCGGCCACACGGGAACUGAGACACGGUCCAGACUCCUACGGGAGGCAGCAGUAGGGAAUCUUCCGCAAUGGGCGAAAGCCUGACGGAGCAACGCCGCGUGAGUGAUGAAGGUCUUCGGAUCGUAAAACUCUGUUAUUAGGGAAGAACAAAUGUGUAAGUAACUAUGCACGUAUUGACGGUACCUAAUCAGAAAGCCACGGCUAACUACGUG